GUCCCUGUGGCGCAAUCGGUUUGCGCCUUCGGCUGUUAACCGAAAGAUGGGGGCUCAAGCCCACACAGGGACG
rnacentral:tRNA from 1 species